rnacentral:rRNA from 1 species
CACGUAGGGUGCAAGCGUUGUCCGGAAUUAUUGGGCGUAAAGAGCUCGUAGGCGGUUUGUUGCGUCGGCUGUGAAAUCCCGAGGCUCAACCUCGGGUCUGCAGUCGAUACGAGCAAACUAGAGUGUUGCAGGGGAGACUGGAAUUCCUGGUGUAGCGGUGAAAUGCGCAGAUAUCAGGAGGAACACCGGUGGGCGAAGGCGGGUCUCUGGGCAACAACUGA